UCAGAGACUGCUACAGGAAGUGACUGAUCAAGCCCUGCCUAUAAAGGAAGCAGGAAGUGGAGGGUUCCUUCUUUAAUCUUCAAGGCUGCACAGAGCAGGCAGCAACAGAAAUUUUUCACUCCUUAUUCAAUGUGGUGAAUAAGUCAAAAGAGUAACUAACAUUCUGACUCACUCCAUACGUGCACCAUACAUGUGGAGGACUGCACACACACCUGUGGAGGAUGUAGAGGACCAUCUCUUUGCUUCCUGCACUGGCAGCGUGAUGACGUCAACUGCAGCCGGACGAGUCGAGUGAGGUGAGGUGGGCUCCCUUCAGGUGGGGCUCCCUUCAGGUGGGGCUCCCUUCAGGUGGGGCUCCCUUCAGCUGAUGAUUCAAUUCAAAGACACAUGGGCAGCCUGACCAAAACAAGAUGAAGAGCUGUUAGCAUGUCUGCUACACCAUGCUGCCUCACUUCCUUCAACAUUUGGUGUUUCCUCGCUCUGAACUCUGAAGAGAAGGAUCUGUGCUGCAGCUGGAAGGAGUUUCUUUAGAUUAAAGUUUACUUGUUAGCUGUUUUAGUUUUCUUUCAGCUAUAGAUUUAGUUUAAAGUCUGUUUUCUUUAAUCUUUAUGUGCAGUUUUCUCUCAACACAAUUUGAUAAUAAAAUUUUAAAGUCUUAA